CCUACGGGAGGCAGCAGUGAGGAAUAUUGGUCAAUGGGCGCUAGCCUGAACCAGCCAAGUAGCGUGAAGGAUGACUGCCCUAUGGGUUGUAAACUUCUUUUAUAGGGGAAUAAAACGCGGUACGUAUACCUCUUUGCAUGUACUUUAUGAAUAAGGAUCGGCUAACUCCGUGCCAGCAGCCGCGGUAAUACGGAGGAUCCGAGCGUUAUCCGGAUGUAUUGGGUUUAAAGGGAGCGUAGGUGGGUGGUUAAGUCAGUUGUGAAAGUUUCCGGCUAAACCGUAAAAUUGCAGUUGAUACUGGAGGGCUGGAGUACAGGUGAGGAAGGCGGAAUUCAUGGUGUAGCGGUGAAAUGCUUAGAUAUCAUGAAGAACUCCGAUCGCGAAGGCAGCUUACCGAACUGCAACUGACACUGAUGCUCGAAAGUGUGGGUAUCAAACAGGAUUAGAUACCCCUGUAGUC
rnacentral:rRNA from 1 species